rnacentral:tRNA from 1 species
GUUAAUAGUUUUGUGGUAGAGUGCUUGCCUAGCAAGCUUGAGGCCCUGGGUUUAAUCCCCAGUACAUAAUA